UAAACUAUAAUUAUUUUCUUUUAAAGUACCCGAAAUAAAAAGAUCGAAAGAGUUAUGCAUUUUAGGGUUUAAUUAAAUAUGUGGCAAAAUAUUAUGAUAAUAACUUUUUAGGGGAGACACUCCAACAAUUUUUAUGAUAACUGGAUUAAGGGGAAAAGUAUUAAGUACUAUAAACAAUUAUAAAGUGAUAAGAUUUUAUAAAUUAAAUAAGGCUUUUUUCGAAAUAUUAGGGCUAAUCCUCUACAUAUUUUGACUUACAUUAACAUUCUUAAAAUAUAUCUUUUUAUUAUUACCCUAAAUUAAAUGUAAAUUAAAUUCUUUUAUUUAUAAUGUUUAAAUUAGUAACUUGUUAUUAAUAAUUUUUAAUAAGGAAUUCGGCAAAUCAUAUAUUCGACUGUUUAACAAAAACAUAGUCCGCUGCUAUUUAUAGUGGAUGGUUACUGCCCGGUGAUUUUAUUUAACGGCCGCAGUACCUUGACUGUGCAAAGGUAGCAUAAUAAUUUGGCCUUUAAAUGGGGUCUAGAAUGAAAGGACUUACGGAUAGAAGCUGUCUCGUUUUAAUUAAAGAAAAUUUAUUAAAAAGGUGCAAAUACCUUUAUGCUUAUACAAUAGACGAGAAGACCCUUAGAAUUUUAUUUAAUAUGGGAAAUUUCUUAUUUUUAUUUUGUUGGGGCAACAAAGUAGCAUAUGCUUGAAUCUACUUUAAUAAAAUUAGGUAAGCCGACUAUUUGUAUGGACAUGUAAAUUACCUAAGGGAUAACAGCAUAAUUUAGUAAAGAUUGUGACCUCGAUGUUGGAUUAGGGCCAUAAUGAUUCACCCAAUUUUUAUGUUAGUUCUGUUCGAACUUUAUUACCUAC
rnacentral:rRNA from 1 species